UUUGCAAUGAUUGCUUUAUACAAUACACCAUUCUAGAAUGUUUACAAUUAAUUCUGAAUGUCCUGAGUUCUCCUCAGAGCUUUAUUCCUGGGAAUCUGCUGAAUUUCAUGAACUAUGCAGAAAGUGGUAACUACAACAAGCCCUGGAACAUUAUCUAUCAACAGGAGGCAGAAUCAUUCCAAUUGAAGCAGAAUUAAAAGAUGAGCUUUUGAAGUGUGAUUGACAGAUAGUUGGAUUAGAUAGUUCCCUCCUCCAUCAUAACCUCUUUCCAAGAGUUUUGGCAAUAAGGUAAAGAGAAAAAUUGGACCAAGCCUGGAGAAAGGUGUCUGAAACAAUGGACUACUGUAUAAUACUCAAAAUCAAAGGAAGAGGUUUUUGUAAGAGGACUCAAUGAGAUUUGAGCCAUGACUAAGGCUACAUCUAUCAUGAAUAAUUGGCUCACAGAAUUUUCACUUUUUAACUGGUUAUCUUAGUGCUCUCCACUAAAUUUAUUUGUUUCAUCAUGCAUCUCAAUCCUGGAGAAUAACAUUACUGUACCUAGAUUAUAAAUGUUUUAUGGAAAUAAAUCUUUUCAAAAUACUCA
rnacentral:lncRNA from 12 species